UGCAUGUCUAAGUAUAAGCAAUCUUAUACGGCGAAACUGCGAAUGGCUCAUUAAAUCAGUUAUAGUCUACUUGAUCGUAUCUUCUUACAUGGAUAACCGUAGUAAAUCUAGAGCUAAUACAUGCUAAAAAUCCCGGACGCGGCAACGCGGAAGGGACGAGUUUAUUAGAUUAAAAACCGACACCUCUCCGCGAGGGGAGGUAGCACAGGUGAUUCACAGUAACCGAUCGGAUCGUCGGCCCCGCCGACGACGAUGCAUACGAGUUUCUGCCCUAUCAACUUUAGAUGGUAGAGUAUCGGUCUACCAUGGUCGUAACGGGUGACGGGGGAUUAGGGUUCGAUUCCGGAGAGGGAGCCUGAGAAACGGCUACCACUUCCAAGGAAGGCAGCAGGCGCGCAAAUUACCCAAUCCCGACACGGGGAGGUAGUGACAAGAAAUACCAUUGUAAUGUCUCCUCGAGAGGCUUACGAUUGGAAUGAGUACAAUUUAAAUCCCUUAACGAGUAACGAUUGGAGGGCAAGUCUGGUGCCAGCAGCCGCGGUAAUUCCAGCUCCAAUAGCGUAUAUUAAAGUUGUUGCAGUUAAAAAGCUCGUAGUUGGAUUUCGGAAGGUCCUUAGYARUCCGCCCCUUCGGGGAGCGGGYUGCUGGCCUCCUAUGUUCCUAACGGUCCUCAYYCGCGAGGGUGGGGAAUCAACCGCUAGGAUCGUUUACUUUGAGGAAAUUAGAGUGUUCAAAGCAGGCGUAACUCGCCUCCGAAUACGUUAGCAUGGGAUAAUGGAAUACGACUUCGGUCUUGUUUCGUUGGUUUCGCUUGGCUGAAGUAAUGAUUGAUAGGGACAGUUGGGGGCAUUAGUAUUUAGUUGUCAGAGGUGAAAUUCUAGGAUUUACUAAAGACUGACCAAUGCGAAAGCAUUUGCCAAGGAUGUUUUCAUUAAUCAAGAACGAAAGUAGGGGGAUCGAAGACGAUCAGAUACCGUCGUAGUYUCUACCGUAAACUAUGCCGACCAGGGAUCCGGAGAGUUUGCAUGGAUGACUCCCCGGGCACCUUGUGAGAAAUCAUAAGUGUUUGGGUUUUGGGGGGAGUAUGGUCGCAAGGCUGAAACUUAAAGGAAUGACGGAAGGC
rnacentral:rRNA from 1 species